rnacentral:rRNA from 1 species
UACGGGGGGGGGCAAGCGUUGUUCGGAAUUACUGGGCGUAAAGGGCUCGUAGGCGGCCAACUAAGUCAAACGUGAAAUCCCUCGGCUUAACCGGGGAACUGCGUCUGAUACUGGAUGGCUUGAGUUUGGGAGAGGGAUGCGGAAUUCCAGGUGUAGCGGUGAAAAUGCGUAGAUAUCAGGAGGAACACCGGUGGCGAAGGCGGGAUCCUGGGCCAGUACUGACGCUGAGGAGCGAAAGCGUGGGGAGCAAACAGG